GUUCCAGGCUGACAUGACAACUUGUCAAGCGGCAAGCCAGGGGAUAAAACGAAAGUAGACCCCAGGAGUUUUGGUAUCGGCAUCUGCUUGACCACAUCUCAGCUGCUUUGAUGAGAAGCAGCGGCACAUUGGCAAGGUGAAGCAACGUCUCUGCUCAGGCACUCCGCUGCAACAUUUAUAAAGUUGCCAGCAUGGAGGCCCAGAGACAGGGGUCAGCCUCUGAUCUAUGCAUGGCACCCUCUUCCUGAGAUGGACCCCAGCUGCUCCUUAACUAAGGUAACACAGCAAGGUCUAGGCCACUAACCAUAUGCCCCCUGGGAGCUUCUGGAACGUCCAACAAAGGAAUGUGGUAUUACAGAGUCAGAGUUGAGACUUUUCUGCACAUGUGUCAGGGUUGUGAGGGAUGAACGGUGAAGCCGCUUGUGCUCGACACAGUGAAGCUGACAUGUUUGGAUUGGAGAGCGGUCAGUGCCGUCUGCAUGGUCGCAACAGAGGCCUCAGCUCAGUCUGACAGCGGAAACCAGGACCAGAUGCAUCUGUCCGGAUCCAACCUAGUGAUUGAUUGUAAAACAGUUUCUGGGAUUCAUGAGUCAUGUGUGUCUGUCAUGGAAUAAUAGAUGUUCUUUUUUCCCUCCAUUAUUACAGUCAUCCUUUUAAAGAGCAAAGCUAAGUAAAACCAUGUGAUGUAUGUACCUCAAACAAGAAACAAACAUGUUUAAAAUUGUAUUGCUUUGAUCUGUGAACAUUUAAUUGCUUACCUCUCAUUCACUUUCAAGUAAAAAUACAUAGUGAAACAAUACUGAGAUAGUGUGUGAGCAUUUCAAAAACUACAGAAACAAAGUUUCAUCGAUGUGUACAGCUAGGUCCAUAAACAUUUGGACAGUGACAGAGGUUUUACCUUUACCUUUAUAAAGCACCACAAUGGACGACAAAAAACACAGUCAAAACGUGUUAGAAGGGUAUGCUUGAAAAUCAUGAUUCUUGAGAUUUCACAAAAAUAUGGACCUUUUAGGACUUAAGGCUUCUUUAUACUCACGCGGGCGGCGACCGCGCUGACAUCACUGCGGCUAUCCCACGCGCGGUUUACCUUUAUACUCGAGCGCAACCCACACGCACUGUUUUGAAAAUGUCCUGCAGUUCUCCUCCAAGUCGGGUGUGUCGCUACGGCUGGUAUUGGCUAGGACACCACAGGGUGGAGUUUCCUCUGCAUUUUACGUCUACCAUUUGCGAUAGCCGUUUUUACAAGGAACAAGGAACAAAGCAACAACAAUGUCGACCGUGGAACAGUGUCUGCUAGAACAAAUGGACCUAGAUGACCAGAUGAUACGUUUAAUUGUACUGCAAAAUCAAUCAAGAAGGCGGUGGCGUAGAUGGUAUGUAGAACUAAGGGGAACGCUGAGAUGAGAGAUGAUCUCUGCGGGAUUCUACGCGCAGCAACAAUUUUUGCCGUGUGCGCGUCAAGUGCCGCACGGCCCGAUGAGUCAGUCACGAGAUGCAACGUUUCCUUUCUGGAUAUGCUUUGUCAGGCCAAGUGACAUUCUUGAUGCCUUCAUUUUUGCCACAAACGUUCUCAUUCAAAUUGUUUGCUGUCAAAUCUAUUAUGGUGGUGUGGAUAGGAAAACUCAUAGAGGCUAUGAAUUUUCUAAAUACUGGAUCAAAUUCUACUAAAACAUAGCUCACACAAUCAGUACAGUACACAAAGCUGAGCCCACAAUUCAUGAAUCCAAAAGUCUGUUACCCUGUUAAAAAUGCGCUCCACAACAAUCACAGCACCACAGACAGAAAGUCGGGCUGCAUUAAUUUGUGCGCCUCGUAUCCACAGGCAAUCUGCAGCAAGACACCAAUUACACAGAGUUUUAAAGUGUCUAAUUGAGGCCCUUCAGUCUGAAUAUGUUAUUGCCAGCUCUGAUUCAAGGAUGAAGACAACAUGCUCGACUGCAGCCUGCUGCUUACUCUUCAAGGGAUAUGUGAUGUGUGUUAAUAGGAUGGAUGCUCAGCCUUUUGGUUCAGCGUCCUUCGACUGAACCAGCGUGCCUCUGGGUGAUAAUCCUUAUUUUGUUGCAUUGGUUUAUUACAAUGCCAGCAGUCAUUUUUUGCAUUGAACCACAGGGCCCUUGCCAUGUGAUGUGGCAGAGAGAGACCCUCCAGUGGCGGCGUCGAGUCGGCAGCAUAUCACACAGUGGCCUCUAACACAUAAUGGCGAAAAAUUAUUCCAAAAAAAAGAAUUCUUGAAGAAACCAAGCAUGCAGUUGAAAAUUAAUGUUCUCAUUUUUUCUUCCCACGAUUCUAUCUGCAAGAGUCACACUUUUAAAAACGUCAAACUAUGAUGGAGACAGGCCAAAAAGAAAAACAAGACCCUUGCGUAGUCUAACUUGAAGAAAUCCCUAAAAUAUGUAGCGUUGCUUUCAAUGCACAAUAAAGGCAACACUUUGUCCAGAUACCUAAGUACGGGUCACAGUGAUU